rnacentral:rRNA from 1 species
CCUACGGGCGGCAGCAGUGGGGAAUAUUGCACAAUGGGGGAAACCCUGAUGCAGCGACGCCGCGUGAGUGAAGAAGUAUCUCGGUAUGUAAAGCUCUAUCAGCAGGGAAGAAAAUGACGGUACCUGACUAAUAAGCACCGGCUAACUACGUGCCAGCAGCCGCGGUAAUACGUAGGGGGCAAGCGUUAUCCGGAUUUACUGGGUGUAAAGGGAGCGUAGACGGCAGCACAAGUCUGAAGUGAAAUCCUAGGGCUUAACCCCGGAACUGCUUUGGAAACUGUGCGGCUGGAGUGCAGGAGGGGUAGGCGGAAUUCCUGGUGUAGCGGUGAAAUGCGUAGAGAUUAGGAGGAACACCGGUGGCGAAGGCGGCCUACUGGACUGUAACUGACGUUGAGGCUCGAAAGCGUGGGGAGCAAACAGGAUUAGAUACCCCUGUAGUC